rnacentral:lncRNA from 1 species
GUCGUAUACUUUUUUUGUACAGCUCUCGCUGUCGCACUCACUCGCGGAGCUCUCUUGUAACCUGGCAACAACGUCAGCUGUUUCACUCCACUCAAUGGAACGCUCUCUUCGCUGCUCGCUGUUGGUUGUUGCUGGGUCGCUCAUGCGCACGGUGCACCUACAACCCGGCCGGCGUCGCUGUCUCUGCUCGCUCUUCUACAUGCUGCUGCUGCUGCUGCUGCUGUGUGCCCGUGUGCUCGUGCGUUUGUGUGUGUUGGCCGUGCAUACGUGACUUUUGCGCCGGUUGAGCGUGUUUCGAAAAAGGAUGAUGAAAACGUUCUCUCUCUCCCUCUCCCUACGGCCGCCACCGCCAGGAAGCAGCAGUGGCUGCAGCAACAAACCAAAGUAACCCUGCCUGUGCCCCUGCCCCGCACUCCUCACACCAUCCCUUCCUGCAGCGUUCCACAUUACUGCGCUGUCUCAGUCGUCGUCGCAGUCGCCGCUGCUGCAAGGAGCAGCACUGAAAUUUUCCACUGCACAAAAUUCGACUGCCGGCUAAUGGGGCAACAGCAGCAGCAGCCAUUGCGUUGCAAGUUGCAGAGCCCCAGCUCGAGGCGGCUGUUGCCAGGCCAGAUCCCAGUCGCACUCGUGCAACAAUCAGAGUUUUGUUUGGUUUAAACCAAGCCAAAUGCAAAUUUCCACUCCACUCUCCAACCCAUUCAUCAGCCUUCUCGUCUUGGGUUUCUGGCCAAUUUGUUUGCUGUUUUGGCCAUCUCUGGUGCCCCCCGCCCCCACCACCGCCACCACUCGGCGGCAACCCUUGGGCUAAAUGUCGGAAAAUGAAAGCAAAUUUCCCAAGAAAUUCACAAAGUUGUGGGUCGUUCACGCACCGAUUCGUGUGUUUUGUGCGGCAAACUCCAAUCGCAGCGAAGUUCAUGUGUAUCUUUGGGAUGCGAUUGGAAAAAAUCGAAUUGAACAUUUUUCGUGGCGAGGGGGAGGAGCACGAAUGAACAACUUUUUCCAAAAGAAAUGUACAAAUUAAU